rnacentral:tRNA from 1 species
GCUGGUGUGGCUCAACUGGCACAGCAACUGCCUUGUAAGCAGUCAGCGCGGAAGCGCAUUGAAGGUUCGACUCCUUUCACCAGCU